rnacentral:rRNA from 1 species
CGGCGAACUGGUGAGUAACAGGUGGGUAACGUGCCCCAGAGUGGGGGAUAACCCGAGGAAACUCGGACUAAUACCGCAUACGGCCGUAAGGACUCAGGUCCUAACGGUUAAAGACUUCGGUCGCUUUAGGAUCGGCCCGCCCCCGAUUAGCUUGUUGGUGAGGUAAUGGCUCACCAAGGCAUCGAUCGGUAGCUGGUCUGAGAGGAUGGUCAGCCACACUGGGACUGAGAUACGGCCCAGACUCCUACGGGGGGCAGCAGUCUAGAGGCUUCGGCAAUGGGGGAAACCCUGACCGAGCGACGCCGCGUGCGGGAUUGAAGGCCUUCGGGUCGUAAACCGCUGUCAGGAGGGAAGAAUGCCCUGGUGGUGAAUCAGGGAGAGACGGUACCUCCAGAGGAAGCCCCGGCUAACUACGUGCCAGCAGCCGCGGUAAUACGUAGGGGGCAAGCGUUGUUCGGAUUUACUGGGCGUAAAGGGUGUGUAGGCGGCCGCGCAAGUCUGGUGUGAAAUCUCCACCGCUUAACGGGGAGAGUGCACUGGAAACUGCGUGGCUUGAGUAUGGAAGAGGCGAGCGGAAUUCCUGGUGUAACGGUGGAAUGUGUAGAUAUCAGGAAGAACACCGGUGGCGAAGGCGGCUCGCUGGGCCAUUACUGACGCUGAAACGCGAAAGCGUGGGGAGCGAACGGGAUUAGAUACCCCGGUAGUCCACGCUGUAAACGGCGCGCACUAGG